CACGUAGGGCGCAAGCGUUGUCCGGAAUUAUUGGGCGUAAAGAGCUCGUAGGCGGUCUGUUGCGUCCGCUGUGAAAACUCGGGGCUUAACCCCGAGCCUGCAGUGGAUACGGGCAGACUAGAGGUAGGUAGGGGAGAAUGGAAUUCCCGGUGUAGCGGUGAAAUGCGCAGAUAUCGGGAGGAACACCGGUGGCGAAGGCGGUUCUCUGGGCCUUACCUGACGCUGAGGAGC
rnacentral:rRNA from 1 species